rnacentral:rRNA from 1 species
CAAAAACAUAACCAUAUGUAGUCUUAUAUGGCAUUUUCUGCUCCAUGAGACAUUUAAUAGCCGCAGUACUCUGACUGUGCAAAGGUAGCAUAAUAAUUUGGCUUAUAAUUAAAGUCUAGUAUGAAGGAAUGUAUGGGGGAUCGCUGUCUCCUCGGAAUUAAAAGAAUUUAUUUAAAAAGUGAAAAUCCUUUUUUAUUUAUAUCAGACGAGAAGACCCUAGGAAUUUUAUGUAUAGUAUAUUUAAACCAUUUUGUUGGGGCGACAGGGUAACAGAUAAACUUACUUUUUAUUUUUGAAUUCUAUAUAAUGUAAAAGAAAAUUACCCUAGGGAUAACAGCAUAAUAUUUUAAAGUUUGUGACCUCGAUGUUGGAUUAGGAAAGAAGGUUGUUUAGAAGAUAAUUUUCUGCGCUCUGUUCGAGCGGGCAUUCCUACGUGAUCUGAG